UACGAAGGGUGCAAACGUUGCUCGGAAUUAUUGGGCGUAAAGCGCACGUAGGCGGCUUUGCAAGUCGGAUGUGAAUCCCUCGGCUCAACCAAGGAAGUGCAUCCGAAACUGCAGAGCUUGAGUACCAAAGAGGAUCGCGGAAUUCCCGGUGUAGAGGUGAAAUUCGUAGAUAUCGGGAGGAACACCAGUGGCGAAGGCGGCGAUCUGGGUGGAUACUGACGCUGAGGUGCGAAAGCGUGGGGAGCAAACAGGG
rnacentral:rRNA from 1 species